AAUAAAAUAAAGGGGAUCUUCUUCUUCUUCGUAGUGCAGCCGCCACUUACCUUCUUCUUUUUCCUCACGAACUGCCGCCCCCAUCUCUUCCAUCCUUCUUCUUUAAUCACGCGCCACCUAUCCUAGAUCUUUACAGCCGACACCGACCACCCUCACAAGCCAUCACAUUUCUGCCAGCCGUCGUCCAACCUUCAUUGCGUCUCCCCAUCCUUGAAGCCCAAUCAUCCGUCCGUAGCAUUGAAGCCGUUACUAUUCGACCAGCCUUCUCCGUCGCACGCAAAUCCCAGCCGUACACUCUGCAUCCCUCCUUCGUGUUUAGUAAAAGAUUCAUUAUUUUUCUUUAUCUUACCUGGAAUGAGCUGGAUGAGCAAACCCCUCUGAUGGGCUUGCCUUGUUUCACAUUUUCCCUUUCAAUUCAUGUCAGGGAGUAGGAAGAAAUUUUCCAUCCUUUUGUAUGAGCCAUCUCGAUCCAACUUUGGUAUUUCUUUUCAUACCUAAUUUGUUAGUCUCAAUGUAUAUGAGAACUUCACAUAACAAGCAGCCAUAGUGCAUUAUCAUUGACUAUUUAACAGGGCUGAUCGAAUCUUUGUUGCCUUAUGGUACUUGGUCUUGAAUAUAUUCUUUUUCAAGAAGUUGUUCAAGGGAAGGGUUGAGAAAGGUGAAAAAUUAAUUAUGGAAGAUCUAUGCCUUAGUCAAACUUUAAGUUUUGUAAUAUGUAUUUUCUACUUGAUUUGGGUUGAGGAAAUGAGUGCUUUUGUCUUACUUAAAAGAGGUAUGAAGGUGGCUGGGACAUUGCCAAUCGAAAUUACUAGGCUGUAAGUUUUGUUAACAUAAUUUUGUUUUACUAUUUAUGAUUGGCAUAUUUUUCCUUGAAUUCUGCUAUUCAAUACAAUUUCUUGUAAUUAGUUUUUGUCU